AGUGUACUGUGAACUUCGAUGGUGGUAAGACUUGCCUGUCUCUCUCUCCAGUGCAUCCCCAUUUUCUGAGAAUCGCUAGGGUCGAGGCCGACCCACAUGAUGCUAGAAAGGUAGAAAAUUUGGCCAUCGCACUUGUCGUGGAUGGGGGCCCAUUUACUGUACAUAUCCAUUAGGUGGUAGAUGUGGCCGUCAGAGUAAGCGUCGGCUGUGGCCAUUUUAUUGGCAGAUCCGAAAAGACAGACGACUUCAAAUCACUUCCGUUUGAUCCCUUCUAAGAGAAGAGUCAUCAUGAGCAGCGUCCUUUGACGCGACGGCGGAAGCGACUGUCAAAGAGAUACGACGGUCGGUAACUCCAUUUCUGCGACGAACUUCGAAAAGGACUUUAUGAAGCCGGGAUGGACAUUGUGACUCCGAUUGAAGGAAAAAUGGCAACAGUGAAAGCAGAUUGAGCUGUAGAGGCAGCCUCCUUGAAUGAAGCAAUCUGAUACGUGAGCAUUUUACUCUGGAGGCUAUUCGUCAAGGCAGUUUGGGGUGUGUCGAGUAUGUACAUUCGUUUGUAUGGAUGUCACAAGUCUAACCGACCAAGGCGCUUGCGAGAGGCACAUUCCUUUUGUGAGAAGAAAGAGGUCGGUUUGGUAAACGCCAGGUGUCGGGAGAAAAACCCCAUCUUAACGGUAUGGCACAUAUUUUGUUGGACUUAGAAAACCGUUGCCUUUGAAAAGAGAGAGAAGUGUGAAAUACAUUCUUUUACUUAAUAUUACUUUUGAAAAGAGUGAUGUGUGAAGUGUAUCUUUUUAUCCAAUAUUAUCUUAUGCAUCUUCAUUACAGAUGGGUUCUAUUCCAUGAUAUUAGAGACGGGAUUCUCUAUCCUGACUAAUAAAAUGAAACGAUAGACAUUCUGGG